rnacentral:ribozyme from 1 species
UUUUUUUUUUUUUUUUUUUUUUUUUCUAC